rnacentral:tRNA from 1 species
GAUCCCGUCGUUCAACGGAUAGGACACAGUUUUGCGAAGACUGUAAUUUGGGUUCGAUUCCCAACGGGGUCACCA